GCUGAGGCAGCAGAAUCACUUGAACCCAGGAGGCAGAGGUUGCACUAAGCCGAGAUAGCAUCACCACAUUCCAGCUUGGGAGACAGAGCAAGACUCCAUCUCAAAAAAA